AACGAACGCUGGCGGCAUGCCUAACACAUGCAAGUCGAACGAGACCUUCGGGUCUAGUGGCGCACGGGUGCGUAACGCCUGGGAACCUGCCCUUAGGUUCGGAAUAACUCCCCGAAAGGGGUGCUAAUACCGGAUAAUGUCUUCGGACCAAAGCUUUAUCGCCUUUGGAUGGGCCCGCGUUGGAUUAGCUAGUUGGUAGGGUAAAAGCCUACCAAGGCGACGAUCCAUAGCUGGUCUGAGAGGAUGAUCAGCCACACUGGGACUGAGACACGGCCCAGACUCCGACGGGAGGCAGCAGUAGGGAAUAUUGGACAAUGGGCGAAAGCCUGAUCCAGCAAUGCCGCGUGAGUGAUGAAGGCCUUAGGGUUGUAAAGCUCUUUUACCCGGGAUGAUAAUGACAGUACCGGGAGAAUAAGCUCCGGCUAACUCCGUG
rnacentral:rRNA from 1 species